rnacentral:rRNA from 1 species
AGCAGCCGAGCUCCAAUAGGGUAUAUUAAAGUUGUUGCAACUAAAAAGCUCGUAGUUGAAUUUCGGGGUUAGUAAGUUGGUCAUGCCUUCGGUAUGUACUGUUGGCUUUACUGAUUCCUCCUUCUUGACGAACCGUGAUGUCAUUAAUUUGGUGUUGCGGGAAAUCAGGACUGUUACUUUGAAAAAAUUAGAGUGUUUAAAGCAGGCUAACGCUUGAAUACAUUAGCAUGGAAUAAUGAAAUAGGACGUUAAUCCUAUUUUGUUGGUUUCUAGGAUCGACGUAAUGAUUAAUAGGGAUAGUUGGGGGCAUUAGUAUUCAAUUGUCAGAGGUGAAAUAUUGAAGACUAACUACUGCGAAAGCAUUUGCAAAGGAUGUUUUCAUUAAUCAAGAACGAAAGUU